rnacentral:rRNA from 1 species
GACGAACGCUGGCGGCGUGCUUAACACAUGCAAGUCGAACGGGAUCCGGGCUUUCGGGUUUGGUGAGAGUGGCGAACGGGUGAGUAACACGUGAGUAACCUGCCCCCUUCUUUGGGAUAACGUCGGGAAAUCGGCGCUAAUACUGGAUAUUCUUGCUGCAUCGCAUGGUGUGGUUUGGAAAGGGUUUCUGGUGGGGGAUGGGCUCGCGGCCUAUCAGCUUGUUGGCGGGGUGAUGGCCUACCAAGGCUUUGACGGGUAGCCGGCCUGAGAGGGUGUCCGGCCACACUGGGACUGAGACACGGCCCAGACUCCUACGGGAGGCAGCAGUGGGGAAUAUUGCACAAUGGGCGCAAGCCUGAUGCAGCGACGCCGCGUGAGGGAUGACGGCCUUCGGGUUGUAAACCUCUUUCAGUAUGGAACAAGGAUCCUUCUUUUGGGGGGUUUGAGGGUACGUGCAGAAGAAGCGCCGGCUAACUACGUG